rnacentral:rRNA from 1 species
AUUGAACGCUGGCGGCAGGCCUAACACAUGCAGGUCGAGCGGAUGAGUGGAGCUUGCUCCAUGAUUCAGCGGCGGACAGGUGAGUAAUGCCUAGGAAUCUGCCUGGUAGUGGGGGACAACGUUUCGAAAGGAACGCUAAUACCGCAUACGUCCUACGGGAGAAAGUGGGGGAUCUUCGGACCUCACGCUAUCAGAUGAGCCUAGGUCGGAUUAGCUAGUUGGUGAGGUAAAGGCUCACCAAGGCGACGAUCCGUAACUGGUCUGAGAGGAUGAUCAGUCACACUGGAACUGAGACACGGUCCAGGCUCCUACGGGAGGCAGCAGUGGGGAAUAUUGGACAAUGGGCGAAAGCCUGAUCCAGCCAUGCCGCGUGUGUGAAGAAGGUCUUCGGAUUGUAAAGCACUUUAAGUUGGGAGGAAGGGCAGUAAGUUAAUACCUUGCUGUUUUGACGUUACCAACAGAAUAAGCACCGGCUAACUUCGUGCCAGCCGCCGCGGUAAUAC